rnacentral:rRNA from 1 species
AGUCGAGGGGUAUAGUUCUUCGGAAUUAGAGACCGGCGCACGGGUGCGUAACGCGUAUGCAAUCUACCUUUUACAGAGGGAUAGCCCAGAGAAAUUUGGAUUAAUACCUCAUAGUAUUAUGAAAUGGCAUCAUUUUAUAAUUAAAGUCACAACGGUAAAAGAUGAGCAUGCGUCCCAUUAGCUAGUUGGUAAGGUAACGGCUUACCAAGGCUACGAUGGGUAGGGGUCCUGAGAGGGAGAUCCCCCACACUGGUACUGAGACACGGACCAGACUCCUACGGGAGGCAGCAGUGAGGAAUAUUGGACAAUGGGCGCAAGCCUGAUCCAGCCAUGCCGCGUGCAGGAUGACGGUCCUAUGGAUUGUAAACUGCUUUUAUACGAGAAGAAACACUGCUUCGUGAAGCAGCUUGACGGUAUCGUAAGAAUAAGGAUCGGCUAACUCCGUGCCAGCAGCCGCGGUAAUACGGAGGAUCCAAGCGUUAUCCGGAAUCAUUGGGUUUAAAGGGUCCGUAGGCGGUUUAAUAAGUCAGUGGUGAAAGCCCAUCGCUCAACGGUGGAACGGCCAUUGAUACUGUUAAACUUGAAUUAUUAGGAAGUAACUAGAAUAUGUAGUGUAGCGGUGAAAUGCUUAGAGAUUACAUGGAAUACCAAUUGCGAAGGCAGGUUACUACUAAUGGAUUGACGCUGAUGGACGAAAGCGUGGGUAGCGAACAGGAUUAGAUACCCUGGUAGUCCACGCCGUAAACGAUGGAUACUAGCUGUUGGAAGCAAUUUCAGUGGCUAAGCGAAAGUGAUAAGUAUCCCACCUGGGGAGUACGUUCGCAAGAAUGAAACUCAAAGGAAUUGACGGGG